GAUGAACGCUGACAGAAUGCUUAACACAUGCAAGUCAACUUGAACUUCGGUUUGGGUGGCGGACGGGUGAGUAACGCGUAAAGAACUUGCCUCACAGCUAGGGACAACAUUUGGAAACGAAUGCUAAUACCUGAUAUUAUGAUUAUAUGGCAUCGUAUAAUUAUGAAAGCUAUAUGCGCUGUGAGAGAGCUUUGCGUCCCAUUAGCUAGUUGGAGAGGUAACAGCUCACCAAGGCGAUGAUGGGUAGCCGGCCUGAGAGGGUGAUCGGCCACAAGGGGACUGAGACACGGCCCUUACUCCUACGGGGGGCAGCAGUGGGGAAUAUUGGACAAUGGACCGAGAGUCUGAUCCAGCAAUUCUGUGUGCACGAUGAAGUUUUUCGGAAUGUAAAGUGCUUUCAGUUGGGAAGAACAAAAUGACGGUACCAACAGAAGAAGUGACGGCUAAAUACGUG
rnacentral:rRNA from 1 species